rnacentral:tRNA from 1 species
GUCCCGAUAGCUCAGUGGAUUAGAGCAAUUCACUUCUAAUGAAUUGGUCGCUGGUUCGAAUCCAGCUCGGGACG